rnacentral:tRNA from 1 species
GCGCAGCUGACUGGGAUAGCUCAGUUGGUAAGAGCAUGAGACUGUUAAUCUCAGGGUUGUAGGUUUGAGCCCCACAUUGGGCA